AAGAAUUGAAGAGGGAGGUGCUACGAUCUGAGAGAAAAUAGUGUUUAGGACGUCUGGGUCUGCUCUCUGUUCGCAAAAAGCUAUGCCUCUUUCCUCUUCCUUCCAUUUUGAGCAUUGGUGUGUGAGAGAAGAAUUGGGGGUUUCUUUGGGUCGUCUGCAACUGCAUUCUAUUCUCCAAAAGCUCUCUGCCUCUGUCCUCUUCUCUCUAUUUGAGGUCUUAAUUUAGUUUCUUCCAAUUGCUGGAUUUGCUCCAGUGGUAUGGUUAUUGGAUCUUUAGAGCCGUAACAUACUUUCAUAAGAGG